GAUGAACGCUGACAGAAUGCUUAACACAUGCAAGUCAACUGUGGCGGACGGGUGAGUAACCCGUAAAGAACUUGCCUCACUGUUAGGGACAACAUUUGGAAAGGAAUGCUAUUCCUUGAACUUGUGAGAGAGCUUUGCGUCCCAUUAGCUAGUUGGAGAGGUAACGGCUCACCAAGGCGAUGAUGGGUAGCCGGCCUGAGAGGGUGAUCGGCCACAAGGGGACUGAGACACGGCCCUUACUCCUACGGGAGGCAGCAGUGGGGAAUAUUGGACAAUGGACCAAAGUCUGAUCCAGCAAUUCUGUGUGCACGAUGAAGUUUUCGGAAUGUAAAGUGCUUUCAGUUGGGAAGCAGUACCAACAGAAGAAGUGACGGCUAAAUACGUGCCAGCCGCCGCGGUAAUUC
rnacentral:rRNA from 1 species